GACGAACGCUGGCGGCGUGCUUAACACAUGCAAGUCGAACGGAAAGGCCCUGCUUUUGUGGGGUGCUCGAGUGGCGAACGGGUGAGUAACACGUGAGUAACCUGCCCUUGACUUUGGGAUAACUUCAGGAAACUGGGGCUAAUACCGGAUAGGAGCUCCUGCUGCAUGGUGGGGGUUGGAAAGUUUCGGCGGUUGGGGAUGGACUCGCGGCUUAUCAGCUUGUUGGUGGGGUAGUGGCUUACCAAGGCUUUGACGGGUAGCCGGCCUGAGAGGGUGACCGGCCACAUUGGGACUGAGAUACGGCCCAGACUCCUACGGGAGGCAGCAGUGGGGAAUAUUGCACAAUGGGCGGAAGCCUGAUGCAGCAACGCCGCGUGCGGGAUGACGGCCUUCGGGUUGUAAACCGCUUUCGCCUGUGACGAAGCGUGAGUGACGGUAAUGGGUAAAGAAGCACCGGCUAACUACGUGCCAGCAGCCGCGGUGAUACGUAGGGUGCGAGCGUUGUCCGGAUUUAUUGGGCGUAAAGGGCUCGUAGGUGGUUGAUCGCGUCGGAAGUGUAAUCUUGGGGCUUAACCCUGAGCGUGCUUUCGAUACGGGUUGACUUGAGGAAGGUAGGGGAGAAUGGAAUUCCUGGUGGAGCGGUGGAAUGCGCAGAUAUCAGGAGGAACACCAGUGGCGAAGGCGGUUCUCUGGGCCUUUCCUGACGCUGAGGAGCGAAAGCGUGGGGAGCGAACAGGCUUAGAUACCCUGGUAGUCCACGCUGUAAACGGUGGGUACUAGGUGUGGGGUCCAUUCCACGGGUUCCGUGCCGUAGCUAACGCUUUAAGUACCCCGCCUGGGGAGUACGGCCGCAAGGCUAAAACUCAAAGGAAUUGACGGGGCCCCGCACAAGCGGCGGAGCAUGCGGAUUAAUUCGAUGCAACGCGUAGAACCUUACCUGGGUUUGACAUGGAUCGGGAGUGCUCAGAGAUGGGUGUGCCUCUUUUGGGGUCGGUUCACAGGUGGUGCAUGGCUGUCGUCAGCUCGUGUCGUGAGAUGUUGGGUUAAGUCCCGCAACGAGCGCAACCCUUGUUCACUGUUGCCAGCACGUUAUGGUGGGGACUCAGUGGAGACCGCCGGGGUCAACUCGGAGGAAGGUGGGGAUGACGUCAAGUCAUCAUGCCCCUUAUGUCCAGGGCUUCACGCAUGCUACAAUGGCUGGUACAGAGAGUGGCGAGCCUGUGAGGGUGAGCGAAUCUCGGAAAGCCGGUCUCAGUUCUGAUUGGGGUCUGCAACUCGACCUCAUGAAGUCGGAGUCGCUAGUAAUCGCAGAUCAGCAACGCUGCGGUGAAUAAGGUCCCGGG
rnacentral:rRNA from 1 species